GUACUCUGUAAUUCCCUAGGUUCUUCCUUUCCCAUUUUUAAAAGCAGGAGCAGUUAUAACCCUGCAAACAGCCAACAACUUCUUAAGGGUGUUGAAAUCUAAGCUUGCUGAGAAUGCCAAAUUUAAGAAACAAAAACCUUACUAAAUUUUUUUUUCUUUUCCUUUUUUAAAACCCAGGUGCCACAAUGGGAAGAAUUAAUGAAGAGCAAGGCUUUAAACCAAGCUACAUAGUUGCUGUAGGCCCUGGUGACUUAUCCACUCUUUCAGGAACUCUCAGAGAUAAGUCAAGAGGCCAGUGGGUAUUAAGUGAAUUUCAGCAAGCACUAGAGGCUUGCGUACGUCUGACUUACUCAAACAUUCUUUUACUUUUUUUCCCCUACUCUGGCAUAUGUCAUUCUGUUAAAAAAAUAGCAUUGUUAAAUACCUAUCAUUAAUGUUUAUGUGUAUGUGAAGAAAGUAGCAAAAUUAAUAAACAUUUCCCUCAA